UUCACAGUGGUGCAUCACAACUUCAGCAGUUCUGCCACAGAGCUUGUGGUGGUCAGUGGUGUGCCUGAGCCAGCUCAGGGAGGGUUGGAGUCUGGCUUGAGGAUUCUUCUGAAGCAGCUGACUAGCUGGCUUUUAUUGCAAGACAGAGAACACAAGAUCUCUUCAUUGAUCCUGCAAGGUGGCUGUAGUAUUUUGCCUUGAAAGACUGGAAGUUCCCUCCAUGAGAACCUGGGAGGACAAGGAUGGCCUCCUGUGCUGUUCUGCAGAGAGGAGCAGCCUUCGAUGGUGAGCAAAGAAGCAGUAGCGCAGUCCGCUCUCGGGAGCAGCACCUGGCUCUAGAAUGCUGCCAUGAAUGUCUUCAACUCGCUGCAUUGUAUGUAUUGAAGAGAUUGGAUAUGCUGCACUUGUUGAUCAUCCAUGAUGGACACAACAGCCUCUAUUUGUGUCCUGGAAGGGGCAGAGAGAAGAACUGGCACAGGCCCAGCCCUGGCAGCAGCACGAUCAUCUAGAAUGCCAGAAACCAGCUCUGCUCCUCCCUGCCACGGGAGCAGGCUUUGAAGGGGUUGAAAGAAGCAAGACCACGGUGCCUCCCUCAGCAGCACUCUCUCUGGCAGUCAGCUCCUGGUGUUCUGCAGGGCAGCCUUGGAAGUGAUAGGAAGAAUUCGUGUGGUCCAUGAUGAAGGAAAACCAGGUUCUGGCUGGUCCAGGCCUGUGCAUGUCGAUAGUUGGCAAUAAAUGAGGCCCACAGGUGGCAUCAGGCUGAGAGAACAGUGUGAACAACACAAUGCUCCACCCCUUGGGUUUCUAGUUGGGAGCUGUAAAGCCACAUGUCUUUGUCUAAGCCUCUCUAUGCUUUGCUUUCUGAGUCUGAGCAGAAAGAAGAUGUGAUGGCAUCCCAGUCUUGGGAGCAGCAGGAUCAGCUAGACUGCUGGAAAGCUCCUCCCUGCUGGUGGUGAUGGAGCAGGCUCUGAAGGUGUGGAAAGAAGCAGUACCAGGGUCUCAAUCAGUAGGGGCAUCUUCCCUGUGCCCGAUGUUGCAGAGGAGCAGCUGCAGAAGUGGCAGAAACGAUCGGUGCAGCCACAGCCUCAGCCUCAGGUGCAACACGAUUCUCGGACACAAGAAACCUCUGUGACUGGUGGCAGACAUGCUUGACGUUUGGAUCUUGUCACGAACCCAGCUCUGACCGAGAUGACUCACAGGCCAGUGUGGACGCCCUCAAAAACCCCUUGCCUGUGUUGUAGCUGGCUCUGUAUUGAGGCUUCUCUUCGCCUGCACUGUUGGCAGAAGCACCUUGCAGGAUGUCUUGCUUCCCAUUCCUGUCCCCUGCUCUUGGAUGUCUCCGCUCCUGACACUUGAACUCUGACUUUGCCUGCUUCAAAUGGACUGACACUUUCCUUCAGCCUCGCACCCCUCUUGCCCAGCCGGGACAGCCAGAAGACGGACACUGCUCAGCCUUGGCUCUGCUGCCUUGGUCAGCAUUGUGGUCUUCCUUUCCUGAGUACCUGAUAAUCUGCCUCUCCAGCCACUAACUACAUCAGUGUUGUCUUGGAGUCUCCUGUGAGAGGAGAGACGCUGUGCCCCUGGGGCUUAUAAAGAGGGAGGGUGUGCCCCCAAGAGGCACACUGGAUCUAGUCUUCCACCAAGUGAGACUACCUGUGACUCUAUCCAUCACCUGCCCUGCCUAGCAUCCCACCCCCCAUCUGAGGAAGCACCAGCUGCCACUGAGGGAUGGGCCUUGUCUGGGGCUACGCUGAGACUCUGGAAUCCAUUCCCUGCAGAAAUCAGAGCCUCCCCAUCUCAAACUACUUAAGACAUUGGACACAUUUCUUCACCCAAGCUUUUAAAGUAGAUGUGGCUUUAACUUCCUGGUCUUUGACUGUAAUAAAGAUGUGUAUCUGAAGGUUUUA